UUCUAGUUGGAGAUUUCUACAAGUAACUCUAUCCCAAUUUCUGUGACUGCAACAAUCAUUUUCAAACAAGAUGACGUCCAUCAAUAGCUCUGCCAAUACCAAAGCUAUGUAUCAGGUGAGCUACAUUGCAUUUCAACAAGCCAUCUUGGCAAUGGAAGUUUGACGUAUGGUGUGAAUCUUGAUUUUCAAACUGUAAACUUAUAUCAGUCACGACCUGCAAAAGGAGAUGAUAACAAAGGUCGAGAUCACAUUGUGAAUUAAUACUAUACAAGUAUGCUUCCUUAUUUUAAAUUGUGCAAAUUUCUUCACCUCGGAGUUACUUCUAGCAAAAUGCACUUACAAGGUAGGAGUUUAAUGCGCUCCAAGACAUGCUCAGACACAGUGAGGGAAGAUUGGCCACAAUCUGAGUAGUACUAUGUUGCCUACCUCCUAAAGGUAGCCGUCCAUCCUAUAGCUGCCCAAAAAUGAUUUGCAUGAUCUUGAUCCUAUAGCGACAAAUCACUUUUGACUGUUAUACAUACAUUUGUCAUUC
rnacentral:lncRNA from 1 species